rnacentral:rRNA from 1 species
CCUACGGGUGGCAGCAGUGGGGAAUAUUGCACAAUGGGCGCAAGCCUGAUGCAGCGACGCCGCGUGAGGGAUGACGGCCUUCGGGUUGUAAACCUCUGUUAGCAUCGAAGAAGCGAAAGUGACGGUAGGUGCAGAGAAAGCGCCGGCUAACUACGUGCCAGCAGCCGCGGUAAUACGUAGGGCGCGAGCGUUGUCCGGAAUUAUUGGGCGUAAAGAGCUUGUAGGCGGUUGGUCGCGUCUGCUGUGAAAGGCCGGGGCUUAACUCCGGUUUUGCAGUGGGUACGGGCUAACUAGAGUGCAGUAGGGGAGACUGGAAUUCCUGGUGUAGCGGUGGAAUGCACAGAUAUCAGGAGGAACACCGAUGGCGAAGGCAGGUCUCUGGGCUGUAACUGACGCUGAGAAGCGAAAGCAUGGGGAGCGAACAGGAUUAGAUACCCGGGUAGUC